rnacentral:snRNA from 1 species
GGCUUUGUGCAGUGGCAGCAUCGGAGCCACUGAGGUUUAUCCAAGGAGUGAUUAUUGCUAAUUGAAAACUUUUCCCAGGGCCG